GUUCCUGUAGCACAAUGGAUAAUGCGUUGGAAUUCUAAUUCAAUGGUGGUGGGUUCGAAUCCCACUUGGGGCG